UCAAGAUGGUGUCACAUACCCAGGUUCUCCUGUGCCUGCUGCUCUGGGUGUUUGGUGAGGAAUUCAAAAGAGCCUGUGCAGAUAUUGUGAUGACCCAGUCUCCAUCCUCCAUAGCUGUGUCAGCAGGAGAGAAGGUCACCAUCAGCUGCAAGUCCAGUCAGAGUCUCAGCAAUAACUACUUGUCUUGGUACCAGCAGAAACCAGGGCAGGCUCCCAAACUACUGAUCUAUGAUGCAUCCACUCGGCACACUGGGGUUCCUGAUCGCUUCACAGGCAGUGGAUCUGGGACAGAUUUCACUCUCACCAUCAACAGUGUCCAGGCUGAAGACCUGGCAAAUUACUACUGUAUGCAGCAUUGUAAUGUUCCUCCCACAGUGCUUCAGCCUCCAACAAAAACCUCUCUGACAUUUUCACCAGCUGGCUGCACCACACAGCCCUGGACCUGCAUAUGUCUCCCUGCUGACUGA